CUGGAGUCUGUAUGUAUCCCCUGAAACCCUCCCCCCAAGUUAAUUCUGAUUGGCGAAUAAAGAUGUCAGCAACCAAUAGUUGGUCAGAAGAGGCAUAGGCGGGGUUGAGGUUUCAAGGCCUUGGAGAGAGAGGACUAUGAGGAGGGAGAGGAAUGAAGCUGACAUGGAAUAAGCGGAGAACAUGCAGGAGGGAGAAGGAGAGCCACCAUGGGAUUGCUGAGCUAGAAAACCAUGGCCAUGUGGGAUGGCGAAUUGGAGUUAAGAAAAGCCCAGCUGGAACAUAGUUAAAACAAUGAAAUUAAGAAGCUGGAGGAGAGGAUAUCCUUCUGAAAUCAGCCCUAAUGACACAGAUUUGCACCUGAUGUUGACUCUAAGGAACCCCCUUUACUGGACCUCCAGACAGCUCAUUUGUUAAAGGGGUAAAGAGAUGAUCCAAUAUGGACAUUGGAUGGGAUAGUUUCAUGGGCAAGCAUCGGUCAGUCAAAGUAACCAAUCCCCACCCAGAUUGCAGCUCCUGAUUCACUAAAUACACAAACCAAAGGACCACCUUUCUUCACGGUUGUUUAGCAGCUCGUUUCCAAUUUCUCAUUCCUCGUCUUCCCAUCAGUUUUUUUACUGAGCACAGAAGACGCAGAUAUGAAUUGGAUCUUCUACUCAAUUCUCCUUACCAGUUCCCAGAAUCCUGCUCCUGUUUUUUAACACAGAGAAUUUGAAAGUCACUUGUGCAGUUAAGUCCAUGUAACACAGUUGGCACCUGUUAAAGCAUCCUAUACCUCCCUCUGUGGCCGCUUCUUGGUCUACAAAUUCAGUUUUAUUUAAGUUGGCUAACUCAGGUUCAUCUCUGAUCAUCUUGAAAGAAUCAUUCUCUUCUUCUUCCAGUGAGACGUCCCCGACUCUCUUAGGAUGUCAUAGCUAUCAUUACAGGUUCAGAGGUUCAGUCCAUUAUCAUCAAGAUGGGAGCAUGGCAGCAUCCAGACAGGCAUGGUGCAGACAGAGCUGAGAGGUCUACGUCUUCAUCGAAAGGCUGCUACUGGAAGACUGACUUCCAGGCAACUAGGGUCUGGAUCUUAUGCCCACACCCACAGUGACACACCCAUUCCAACCAGGUCACACCUAUUCCAACAAGGCCACACCUCCAGAUGGUGCCACUCUCUGGUCCAAGGAUAUAAAACCAUCACACACAUUUUGGUCUUUAUGUGGCUUCAUGGCUAUGAUAUGUCAUUCUAUCACUCCACUGGGUGCAUUCUUCUCAAGCCAACACUUUUUAUUGUUCUAUUAACAAAGACCAACAGGAAUAAUUUUAUUUCAUAGGGUAGAUCCAGAAAUGUCUAUUUACUAUUGUUCUUUCUAACAGCAUCAUGUAUGUAAUUCUAUGUCACAUGUAGUAUCAUGACUUCUGUCAUGAGAUAGCACGUUCUCCCUGAACUCCAAUCAUUGAGUUAAUGAGCUUUGUGUCAUGGUAACAAAUAAUAGAAGAUUAAUUUCUAACAAGAAAAUAUUUAUUUUGGAUUGGAUAUAAGGGGCUACAGUUCAUAGUUCAUGGCUCCCUUGCUUUGGGGCCUUUUUAGGGGAAUCAUGUCAUGGUGGGAAGUCCAUGAGAGAACGAAAGCAUUCACCUCAUGACUAGAAUAUAAAAGAGAAAAAGGAAGGACUGGGGCUCUGCUAUCUCCUUCAAGCCUAUGUCCCCCAAUUCCAUGAAGUUAAAUAUUAGACUAUUCUAUGUUACUGAAUUAAUUGGGAAACGGAGAAAAUUGGGAAACUAUAGGUUUUGAAUUGAUCACAGAACCCCUAAAAUAGAAACACUUCUCUGUACUAUGUCUGUCAUGUAAGCGGCUCUGAUCAUUAUAUCCAGUACUGACUGAGGAGACUGAGGGAGACACUUUUGGAUGGCUCCCAUAAGCAAAUCACAUUGCAUACCAGCAGUGUUUUGAAUUCAAAUUUGCUAAUAAUCGCUGCAGAUAAUUGUUAUAAUUUUGAGAAAUUGCUGCUGGCUUGUUAUCAGGCCCUAAAAGAGAACCAUUGGCUGUGGAAGGGAGAAUUUUCCUGAGUUAAUGAGCAUCAUCUAUAUCAUCUAUAUAUUUGUGAAGACAGGCGUUGUUCUUUAUCAUAAUAUGGAAGAGGCAUACAGAGUACUGAACUGAGCUCUGUGCUACACAGGCAAUCCUGUUUUAUCUAAACUGAUCUGACUAUCACAUUGCUGAGUGGCCAACCUGACAACAGGAGAGGCCAACACAAAACACAUGCUGGAUUCCAAUCUUUCGAGGGGUCCCUCAGCUGUCUGAUGGCACAUUAACUUUAUUAUACAAUCUGCAUAGCCAGGGGCAACACCUUGUUACUAUUGAAAAAGCAACUUACUUUGGGGUAUGGAAAUUUCUAUCUCAGUUCUUAGAGCUUCUGCCUAAACCCCCAUCCACAGAUUUACUGAACACCGAUUAAUAUUAUGAAAUUCUAUUGUUAUGAAAUUCUAUUGUUCUAAUGAAGGGACCUAAUAUGCUGCAUAAAGUGCAACUGAGUCCAUUCUUAGAGAAUAAUUUAUUACUCUCAUCAAGUUCAUUUUCAGUGUGAAGCAGCUGAUCUGGAAGAAUGAUUUUCUGGCAACUCAAGGAUGUGCCAGCUAGCUGUGGGACUUACUAUUCCAUAUAUGAUAUUAUUAUAGACCAGAUUAUAGAUUUCACGUACGAUGCUUUUUAUCCCAUAACCAAAAUUCAUGAGCCUGAGAACCACAUAGAAGAGAGUGUUACAAUUAGAACUCUGAGCCCAAAGACUAGAGUUUCCUUCCUUUCCCAACACAUUAGAUUUUGCUAGUCUUAUGUUCGCUAAGACCAAAACAGUAGUCAGAGAAGAAAAUGCUGCAUAACAUUUUUUUUGGCCAGGAAAUGUAUAUAUAUAUAUAUAUAUAUAUAUAUAUAUAUCAAUUUUUAUCACAUAGUGAUUCACCCUUUCUAAGUAAACAUUUGAAACAUCUCUAUUGAAUUAAUGAAUUUACAAAAUAGAGUCAAAGAAAUCUGAGCCUAACUUUAAAAAUAAUGCUUAAUAUAUUCUAUGGAGGUGAAAAAUACAGGAAAUAUAGUAGGGAAAAAAUAAAAAUGACAAAGACAUUAACCAGGAUGAGGGAUUAAAACAGUAAAUAAAUAUGUAUGGUGUUGACCUUGAUAGUUCUGUUUCUCCAGAGAUUCUAGAUCUGGAAAAAAAUAAUAUCUCUUCCUUCGCAACAUGAAGAGGAUUUUCACUGACCACAUUGGGCAAUUUGAGAAGUAAUAAUGUUUAUUAUUGGAAGAUACUAAGGAAGCAGGUUUUUUUUCUAAUUUAGUUUUCUAUUAUUUAUUCAUUUGUUUCCUAGUUUUCAUUUUUCUUUUCUUUUCUUUUUUUGCCAUAAUAAACCAUAAACAAAAGCAUUUUGGAAAUGGAAGGAAAGAAAUUAUUUAGGUGUAUAUGUCUGUUUCAUAGCCCAUCAUCAAAAGAACCAAGGCAGGGACUGAACCAUAGACCAUAGAGGAGUGUGCUCACUGGCUUGCUUCCUCUAUCUCUUUUCAGUUGCUUUUUCCAUAUAGUCCAGGCAUAUCUGCCCAGGAUAGCACAGUGCAUAUUGUUCUGUCCUCCAUCAAAUACCAAUUAAUAAAAAUGUCUACACACUCACACAGACCAAUCUGAUGGAACUAACUCCUCAGCUGAGGUUCUGUCUUUCCAUGUCUCUAGUUUGUGUCAAAUUGACAAAAACUAACCAGCACAGUUGAUACUUUUAAAACUGGCAAAUAAGAGCAAUAAGAGUAAAUCAAUACAAUAUUAUACUCAGGCUGUGUUGUAUAAUCCAGUCACUGAGUGAAUAGGUCACAGAAGAAUAAUUCUUAAUGAAAGGUUCUAGCUAACUAAUGAAGACAGAGUGUAUUGUGAGUAUUGUUAUUUUGUAACUUCUACAAGGUAACUAAGAGAGAAAUUCAACAUAAAUAAACUUGCAGCCUGACACCAUGAUGAACACACAUCACUAACAUCUGUGACACAUCGAUGGACACUUGUCACCGUCAUCUGUGACACCUGAUGGACACAUAUCACCAUCAUUUGUGACAUCCUGAUGGACACAGAGGACCUCCCUUUUUGACAUCCUGAUGGACACACAUCACCAUUGUAUGUGACACCCUGAUGGAUUCACAUCACCAUUGUACGUGACACUGUGAGAAAACACACAUCACCAUCAGCUGUGACCUCCUGAUGGACAGACAUCACCAUGUGUGAGAUAUUUCAGCUAAUGAUGGAUCAUACCAUCUAUACUAUUAUCUACCUAUUUAUAAAAUUAGUAUAUUAUAUAGUAUAUUAAAAAGCCUAUGUGUAUGAAAUAUAUAAAACAAAAUAUAAAAUGAGAAAUCUGUCAAAACAAAUAGGGAAAAUAUAAGAGCAUAUAAAAUUAUGUAGAGGGAAGAACUCAAUCCAAUGAAAAGCUAAAAUGAAACAGGAAAUCUAUGGAAAAUGAUCCAUUUUUAUUUUUAAAAGUAUACAGUGAAAUAUUGAGUUAACAAUCAUCAUCACUAAAAUUAAUAUUCAGUCAUUUUUAGUAAUGAAACAAUAUAGCUUUACAGGAUUAAUUUUUUCUGUAGAAGAGAAAAAUAUUAUUAAUUACAAACUAAGUCUUAAUUAAUUAAUAACCAAAAUCUGUCAUUGAAGACUCUGAAAUUUAAACCUUUUUUUGGAAUUCGAUGAUACGAGGAAUCACUGUUAAUCAUAUUCCAUAUAAUAAAACUGUAUCUGCUUAUGCUGAAGGAAUUUUUAAAAUGCUUUUUUAUUUUUCUUUGUGUAUAUAGAUGUUUUGCCUAUAUGUAAGUCUGUGUAACGUUUAUAUACCUGGUACCCAUGAAGGACAGAGGAGGGAGGGCUCUGGCUCUCCUAAAAGCAGAGUUAUGGAUGUUGUGAGCUGCCACGUGCUGGGAAUUAAAGAGCAGCCAGUUUUUUUUACUUACCAAGACAUGUCUCCAGCCUCAUGAAAAAUACUUUUUAUCACUGAAUUUGUAUUUUAUCAUUAGCAACAUACACUGAAACAUGGAAAUUACAAGUUUACCUUCCAUGAUGUAAGGUGCAGUGAUGUUAUCCUGGUUCCAUAGACUCCAAGUGUGAUGGAGGAAGACCAGUGAUAUUGCAGUGUGUUUAUUGGGUGAGAGAUUCUUUCUCUGCAGCCUGGAAUGAAGCCUCCUAUAUAUUCCCAGAUUUGCCUGACACCUCACUCACAUGCCAGUCUGGAAAUGCCACUCUUGCUGAUUUGGUUUUGAAAUACUGAUUUAAGACAUUAUGUUCACUCCUUAAAAGGAUGGAUUGAUGGAUUCAUUCAAAGUUCAAAAAAAUGUUCUAAAAACAAAUGAUCCAUACAUAUCAUUUGAAAUAAAGAUACAUAUGUAUUAGAAAAAACAAGCCUAUUAUUUAUUUAACAUCACUUUAUUUUUCUCUCAGAACCAUUUCUUCAAUUUAGAUAGUUGCUUGGCUAUUUAGAGUCAAAUAUUCUUUGCAUUUUUAUUUUUCAACUUUGUCUUAAACAGAAUGCAAAUUUUGUUAGGGGAUUUUAUUUCCUAGGAUAAAUUUAUGAUAAAAUAUAUAUGUGUGUGUAUGUAUACAAUUGAUGCAUGGUUGGAACUGCAUACUGUGGCUGAAUUUAUAUCAAAUAAGUAGGUAAUUUUAUGAUCAUUAAUAUUGGUUGUAGCUAUGCAAGCCAAGACAAUGAUAUGGGUAAUUGAAUCUCAUGCUUCAAAGCACAAAGUGAUUGCUAUGAAGAAGUCAGAGGAAAAUGUCUUGCCCAAAUGUAGAACAUUAUAUAUUUGGAUACUUAGGAAAGGAGAGAUGAAGAAAUAUCAUCCUUUUCUAAGGCAUGAGGGAAUUUGUUUACUGGAACAUCUCAUUGCAUAAAACAAUGAUAUUAGUUCUGAAUUAAAAUGUACUACUAUUUCCUUUUAGCAUACAUGAUAUGUGGGACUAUUGGUAGGAUCAUGUCAAAAUGAUGUUUAUGUGACCAGUAGGGAUUUUUUUCUGGUACAGUGAACAUGCAAAAUGAGCAAUGGCCUGAAAGAUCAAGACAGGAGGCAGAGAAUAAGAGAGAGAGAGAUAGGGAGGGAAGGAAGUAGGGAAGGAGGGAGGAGGGGGGAGAAGGAGGGAGGAGGGGGGAGGAGGGAGGGGAGGAGGGAGGGAAGGAGGAGGACUACUUGUAGGGAGAAAUUGAAUUCCUUUCCUUUCCCAGUGACAUCUCCUGUGCUUCCACAUCUUUGCCCCCGGUCCCUUACACUAAGGCAUCACCUUAGCGGCUUCUCAUAAGAGUGCAUGCCCAUCUUUCCAUUACAGAAAGCUCAAUAUACAAAAUGAUUACUAAUAUUCAUAUAGUUAACAGACUUUUGACACACUCUGUCCUAGAAACCAGGAGAAAAUAUAUGAAAUGGUCUCUUCCAAUUUCUUUCCAUUUGCAUAACUCUAGAAUGUAAGGAAUCAUUCCACCAGUAAGCCAACUAUGGUACCAUACAAAGUUACAUUGUUUAAGCAGCUUUGCCAAUGACAAUGAUGCAGUUUUUCAUUCAUCUUUCUGUUGCUUGUCUCUUAUUUCAUUAUUGAUUCAGAAUCUAGGAGGGAAAGAGAAGAAUACCUUAACUUUCCGGGGCCAACGACUAGAAAAUACAAUGAAGUAGUUACCAACCAAAUCUCACUAUGUGUCUAACAGUUUAGUUUUCUAGACCAUCUGUUUAUUUUAGCAUUCAAGAACUAUGUUUCUUAUCAGAUUGGGAUAAAGAUUUAAAACGUAGAUGAAUCAAGACUUUGCUUUUGAUAUCUUUGUCUAUUGAAUGACCAAAUACAUUGUAAUAGAACUCAUUAUUUUUCUAUUUUUCUUUUCUUUUUCACAUAUUAGACUUAACAGCCUGGCAAUAGUGGUGCACGCCUUUAAACCCAGCACUUGGGAGUCAAUGGCAAGCGAAUUUCUGAGUUUGAGGCCAGCUUUGUCUACAGUGUGAGUUCCAGGACAGCCAGUGCUACAUGGAGAAACCCUGUCUCAAAAACCAACCAAACAAACAAAAACACAAAACAAACAAACAAACAAACAACAAAGACUUAACAAAUUGCUUUGGACAGAUGCAAGCUUCCAUAUUUGUAUUUUCAUCUGCUAAUAUAACACUUUGCUUUGAAAAAAGAUUGAUGAAUUUAAAUGAAUUGUCCCAUGGACAUGUAUGUCUGAAAUCUGAAUGAAUGCCCAUAAUAUGAAAAGUUACAUCUAGAUUUAUGUAUAUGGUACUGUAUGCUGUUCAUCAGAACAAUUACAAAAUGUGGUUGUGCCCUCACCAUACCAGGAAAUUGUAGAGAUCUGCUUCUUCUAUAUUAUCAUUACCAAGAGCAGAAGGUUGAGGUCACAUUUGUUACCAGAUGCCUCUUUGAGAAUCAUGCACAGUGUCACCAGAAAGCACCAAGAGUUCUAAUAAAAAUGAUGAUGUUUGGGAUUCCCAUACAA